GAUGAACGCUGGCGGCGUGYUUAACACAUGCAAGUCGAACGGGGAACAUUUUAAAGAAGCUUCGGCAGAUUUAGUUUGUUCCUAGUGGCGGACGGGUGAGUAAYGCGUGGGUAACCUGCCUCGCACUGGGGGAUAACAGUCAGAAAUGACUGMUAAUWCCGCAUAAGCGCACAGAGSUGCAUGGCUCAGUGUGAAAAACUCCGGUGGUGUGAGAUGGACCCGCGUUGGAUUAGCCAGUUGGCAGGGUAACGGCCUACCAAAGCGACGAUCCAUAGCCGGCCUGAGAGGGUGGACGGCCACAUUGGGACUGAGACACGGCCCAGACUCCUACGGGAGGCAGCAGUGGGGAAUAUUGCACAAUGGGGGAAACCSUGAKGCAGCGACGCCGCGUGAAGGAAGAAGUAUCUCGGUA
rnacentral:rRNA from 1 species